GGUCGUGUGGCCUAAUGGAGAAGGCGUCUGAUUCCGGAUCAGAAGACUGCAGGUUCGAGUCCUGCCACGAUCG